rnacentral:rRNA from 1 species
UACGGGGGGGGCAAGCGUUGUUCGGAAUUACUGGGCGUAAAGGGCUCGUAGGCGGCCAACUAAGUCAGACGUGAAAUCCCUCGGCUUAACCGGGGAACUGCGUCUGAUACUGGUUGGCUUGAAUCCGGGAGAGGGAUGUGGAAUUCCAGGUGUAGCGGUGAAAUGCGUAGAUAUCAAGAGGAACACCUGCGGCGAAGGCGGGUUGCUGGGCCGACACUGACGCUGAGGCGCGAAAGCCAGGGGAGCGAACGGG